GGAGGGCGCGAGCGUUGUUCGGAAUUAUUGGGCGUAAAGCGCGUGUAGGCGGCUCCUUAAGUCUGAUGUGAAAGCCCCGGGCUCAACCUGGGAAGUGCAUUGGAAACUGGGGAACUUGAAUACGGGAGAGGGUAGUGGAAUUCCUGGUGUAGGAGUGAAAUCCGUAGAUAUCAGGAGGAACACCGGUGGCGAAGGCGGUGUGCUGGGCCGUAGCUGACACUGAGGCGCGACAGCGUGGGGAGCAAACAGGAUUAGAUACCCUGGUAGUCCACGCCGUAAACGAUGGGCACUAGGUCCUUGGGGGAGCGACCCCUUGAGGGCCGUCGCAAACGCAUUAAGUGCCCCGCCUGGGGAGUACGACCGCAAGGUUG
rnacentral:rRNA from 1 species